rnacentral:rRNA from 1 species
ACACAUGCAAGUCGAACGGGAAAUAUUCAUUGAGACUUCGGUGGAUUUGAUCUAUUUCUAGUGGCGGACGGGUGAGUAACGCGUGGGUAACCUGCCUUAUACAGGGGGAUAACAGUCAGAAAUGGCUGCUAAUACCGCAUAAGCGCACAGAGCUGCAUGGCUCAGUGUGAAAAACUCCGGUGGUAUAAGAUGGACCCGCGUUGGAUUAGCUGGUUGGUGGGGUAACGGCCCACCAAGGCGACGAUCCAUAGCCGGCCUGAGAGGGUGAACGGCCACAUUGGGACUGAGACACGGCCCAGACUCCUACGGGAGGCAGCAGUGGGGAAUAUUGCACAAUGGGGGAAACCCUGAUGCAGCGACGCCGCGUGAAGGAAGAAGUAUCUCGGUAUGUAAACUUCUAUCAGCAGGGAAGAUAGUGACGGUACCUGACUAAGAAGCCCCGGCUAACUACGUGCCAGCAGCCGCGGUAAUACGUAGGGGGCAAGCGUUAUCCGGAUUUACUGGGUGUAAAGGGAGCGUAGACGGUGUGGCAAGUCUGAUGUGAAAGGCAUGGGCUCAACCUGUGGACUGCAUUGGAAACUGUCAUACUUGAGUGCCGGAGGGGUAAGCGGAAUUCCUAGUGUAGCGGUGAAAUGCGU